rnacentral:rRNA from 1 species
UACAGAGGUGGCAAGCGUUGUUCGGAAUUACUGGGCGUAAAGGGCGCGUAGGCGGUUCGUUAAGUCCUGUGUGAAAUCCCCCGGCUCAACUGGGGAACUGCACAGGAAACUAGCGGGCUUGAGUUCGGGAGAGGGAAGCGGAAUUCCGGGUGUAGCGGUGAAAUGCGUAGAUAUCCGGAGGAACACCAGUGGCGAAGGCGACUCACUGGACACAUAUUGACGCUGAGGUGCGAAAGCGUGGGGAGCAAACAGG